AUGGAGGUCUGUAGCGUAGCCAGGAUAACGAGCUUUGCUCAUUUUGGCCUGAAAGUUUUGCCUAAGCUCCUGGCUCUUUCUCCCUGUUCAUUGGGGAAAUUCAGAAAGGUCUCACCAGCGAUGGAAACUGAAACUGUGUUGAGAAAACUGCCGGAGCUGCUGCAGGAUGUAUUGAGAAAGGUCUCACCACCCAUGGAAACUGAAACUGUGGUGAGAAAUUUGCCGGAGCUGCCGCAGGAUGUAUUGAUGGACAUAUUUUCACUCCUGGAGAUACCUGACCUCAUGCGUGCGGCCUCUGUCAGCUCCUCCUGGCGCUCGGCGUAUACCAGCCUCUGCAGCCAGCUUAAGCUGUACAAACGGCCUCAAACGCCUUGCCUCCUCUACACCUCUGAAUCUGCUGGUUAG
rnacentral:rRNA from 1 species